CUAGCGUGAGCCCCGGGAAGGAAGAGCUUCAGACAAGCGCUCGUAACUCGCUCGUAAACCCGCCGUGUGGUUCGGGGACCGCAGGCGGGGGCUCUGCCUCGCCGUGCCCGCCGUCGACCGGGGAAAAAAAAAAAAAAAUAACAACAAGCGACGAUCCCCGAAACUAACCACGUGAUUUUAUAAUUCAUUUUUUUUUAUUUUUAAAUUUCAUCUUUCAAGAACUUCACCGGUGUAAAGAUACGUCCUUGGACUUCAAUGCUGCAGCAGGGUCGCUAGAUUUUCGCAUCCCGAGUUGGACCAGGGGACGCAGACAGACGGCUCGACCAAUCACCGACGAGGCAGCAUGGAGGAACCUGCGCGCCUGGCCGGCGAGUAGAACAAGGGUUUCCAGGCCUGCGAGCGAUCCCCGCCGACACACGACGACCCGGCUAGCGGACCGUGUCGAGAGCGAACGGGCCGAUACCUGCGGAGCUGCCACGGGCCAACGGGCCGCCAGCUGGCGCUACCGCUGGCGGCGCUGAACAGGAUGCGGCGGUCGCCGGCGCGCUAGCCAUGGGCGAGGAGGACUCGGAGGACGACGAGGCGCUGUUCGCCUACCUGGACGCGCGUCGCGACGCCGUCGAGCGAUGGCUCCAGCGGCGGCGCUCUGCGUCCCGCAGCUCUUCGGCCGCCAGCCUGCAGUCGCCGGGGGCGGCGGGGGCGGCGGGGGCAAUGCCGCCGCCUCCACCGUCUCCGCCGUCGACCGCCCCCGGCGUCAUCGCGCGCGGCAAGCGCAACUCCGUCACCUCGGAGCUGUUCCACAGCUGGCUGUGCUCUUCGCCCGUCAAGCGCGCUCGCUCCCCCAGCAGGCCGGCGGGCAGCGUCCCGCGCCGGCAGCAGCUCGGCCUGCUGGACGAGGGGGAGCUGUUCAUGGAGCUGAUCCGCGACGUGGCAAACGAGCUGGACAUCGACGUGCUCUGCCACAAGAUCCUGGUGAACGUGGGGCUGCUGACGCACGCCGACCGCGGAAGCCUGUUCCUGGCGCGCGGGCCGCGCGACCGCCGCCACCUCGUCGCCAAGCUGUUCGACGUCACCGUCGACACGGAAUUCGAAGAGGCGAUCCAGAAGGCGCACGCCGAAGAGAUACGCAUUCCUUUCGGCGUGGGCAUCGCCGGAAUGGUUGCCGAGAGCAAACAGCUCAUCAACAUCAAGGAUGCCUAUCAGGACCCGCGCUUCAACUGCGCCAUCGACCUGCGCACGGGCUACAGGACGAACCUGAUACUCUCCAUGCCGAUAUGCAACCACGAGGGCGAGGUGAUCGGCGUGGCGCAGAUCAUCAACAAGACCAACGGCAGCAACGAGUUCACGCCGCGCGACGUCGAGGUUUUCCAGCGUUACCUGACCUUCUGUGGCAUUGGCAUCCAGAAUGCUCAGCUGUUCGAGAUGUCUGUGCUGGAGUUCCGAAGGAACCAGAUCCUGCUGAACCUGGCGCGCAGCAUCUUCGAGGAGCAGAACAACCUGGAGUGCCUCGUCACCAAGAUCAUGACCGAGGCGCGGGAACUGCUCAAGUGCGAGCGAUGCGCCGUCUUCCUGCUGGACACGGAGUGCUGUGUGGCGAGUCACCUGGAGAAGAUCCUGGAGCGGCCUAGCAAGAUGACGCAAGACAGGACUCCGCUGAGCCGACGAGAGAGCUACGACGUGAACGUGGAGGAUAUUUUCCAGCAGAGGAACAUCCACUUCUGCACGGUGUUCGAGCUGCGAGCCGCGGAGGAAGAGGCGCUGGUGUUCCGGCCCAGCCAAGGGGAGAUGGGCCGAUCCCGCCUGGCGCACAUAGCUCGCUACGUGGCAGCCGCCGGCCAGAUCCUGAACAUCGCCGACGUGUCGACGUGGAUGAGCGACGCGACGGAAGAAGACGAGGACGGCUUCGUCACCAGGUCCAUCCUGUGCAUGCCCAUCGUGAACGGCCAGAAGACCGUCAUAGGCGUUGCUCAGCUCAUCAACAAGGAGAACGGUAGCAGCUUCUCGGAGAGUGACGUGUCCAUAUUCGAAGCCUUCGCGAUAUUCUGUGGCCUCGGAAUCCACAACACGCAGAUGUACGAAAAUGCAUGCAAGCUGAUGGCGAAGCAGAAGGUCGCGCUCGAGUGCCUGUCCUACCACGCCACGGCCGCCGCCGAGGACACGACCAGGCUGUACAAUGACGUCAUCCCGUCGGCCGAGAAGUACAACCUGUACAGCUUCAAGUUCAUCGACUUCGACCUGAGCGACGAGGACACCUGCCGUGCCACUGUGCGCAUGUUCCUGCAGUGCAACCUCGUCAAGCAGUUCCACAUCCCCUACGACGUGCUGUGCCGCUGGGUGCUGAGCGUGAAGAAGAACUACCGGCCCGUCAAGUACCACAACUGGAGGCACGCGCUCAACGUGGCGCAGACCAUGUUCGCCAUGCUCAAGACGGGCAAGAUGGAGCGCUUCAUGACCGACCUUGAGGUCCUGGGGCUGCUGGUGGCCUGCCUGUGCCACGACCUGGACCACCGCGGCACCAACAACGCCUUCCAGACCAAGACAGAGUCGCCGCUGGCCAUCCUCUACUCCACCAGCACCAUGGAGCACCACCACUUCGACCAGUGCGUCAUGAUCCUCAACAGCGAGGGCAACAACAUCUUCCAGUCGCUGUCGACGGAGGACUACCGCUCCGUCAUGAAGACGGUGGAGAACGCCAUCAUCUCCACGGACCUGGCCAUGUACUUCAAGAAGAAGAGCAGCUUCAUGGAGGUGGUGGAGAACGGCGAGUUCGACUGGCAGAGCGAGCCGAAGAAAGAGCUGCUGUGCGGCAUGAUGAUGACGGCGUGCGACGUGGGCGCCAUUGCCAAGCCGUGGGAGGUGCAGCACAAGAUAGCCAAGAUGGUGGCCGACGAGUUCUUCGACCAGGGCGACCUUGAGAAGCUGCAGCUCAACCAGCAGCCGGUGGCCAUGAUGGACCGGGAACGUAAGGACGAACUUCCCCAGAUGCAGGUCGGCUUCAUCGACUUUAUAUGUCUUCCAUUGUACAAGGUGCUGUCCGACACGUUCCCCUGGAUACAGCCGCUGCUGGACGGCUGCAUGGAGAACAGGCGGCACUGGCAGGACCUGGCCGAGAAGGUGGAGAUGGGCCUCACGUGGAUCGACCACGACACCAUCGACAAGCCCGUGGAGGAGUUCACGGCCAACUCGGAGCCCAAGGACAUCGAGUUCACGGUGACCACGCUGAACUGCGCCAACAACACGGACAAAAAGGGAGCAGUAGCAGUAUCGGCGGCGGCGGCGACGGCGGCGGCGGGAGAGGCGGGCGGGCGCCUGUCGAGACGCGCCUCGGGCAGGUUCCACAGCCUGCGCCGCUCGCGCACGCUCAGCAAGGCCGUGCGGGACCGCCUCAGCAGCUCGCUCUACUCCAGCAGCAGCAGCAGCGGCGGCGGCGGCGGCGUCGGUUCCACCCCAGCGCAGCCCGCCGCCCCCGCCUCGCAGCCCGCCGCCCCCGGCCGCAAGAAGAAGGGCAAGGCCAGGAGCAAGCUGUGCUCGCUGCUGUAGGCGCGGGCUUCUCCCGUCAACGGUGCGCCUGAGGUUCAUUUUCUCCCCGCAAAAAAAAACUAGACAAACGAGAACCACAAAAAAAAAGAUGGCCGCCACGCCCUGAAGCCACCCCUACGUGAAGACGAAGACUGCGUUGAGAUCACUUCUUGGUGCUGCCGAGUGCAAUAAUUCACGUCGUUCCAGACGUCUUAAAGACAUCGCUCCGCUUAACCCGGCCACACAAAUGGUUUUGUCUGGCCCUGAGAGAGGAAAACUUAUGCUUUUGUGCCGGCAAUACUUUGGAGCUGUGAUGAACUAGCGCUGACCUUCUCUAGCAGUGAUAAUUUUUAUAUUAAUGAAGGGGAAAAAAAACUGUUUUUUGCGCCAUUCCGUUUGAGCAGACAAUAAAUACCCUAGCUGAUGCGUGGGUUCGUCUUAUUUUCUUGAGCGUGUGCUUUCACGUAAUGUGAAUGGCAAUCGUUUUUAUGUUAGUCAUCAUUCGCUAGAUAUUAUGGAUGCCAAUGACUGUGAUGUGGUGAUGUGUGCUGGUAUGAAUAAUACCAACUUAAAAAAACAAGUAGAUAAUAAUCCAUCAUUUUUUUCAUUAAGUAAAAUAGUGACAGAACAUUGAAAGAGUAACAAUUAAUAAUACGUAAUAUUCUUGCACUCACAGUAUGAAUAUGUCAAUAUUUCUUGGAAAUAACUGCAUUUAAAGUUGUGUCCUGUUCUAGAUUAUCUGGAGAUAAAGGUUUAGUUAGUUACGUGACAUGUAUAGGUCAAGAUACACUUUUGGUAAAACGUGUAGAGUAUGUUACUACAAAAAUGUUAUAACGCUCAGUGAAUCCGGUCUAUGAGAUUAUUUGUGGGUGCUUUUAAUUUAAUUUUAUGAUAGUUAUGUUAAUGGUUGUUAGUCCUAUAUGGCCUGUUUAAAAAAUGACACUGAAAUUUGAACACGUAAACGGAUUACGGAACUGCAAGAUAUUUACGUCUCACUGUCCGUUUGCCGUUUCCGCAGUGCAUGGAAACGUAAAAAAAAAAAAAAAUGUUGAUCAAUGAGAUUAAAUUUCAUGGUUACAUUAAUCAUUAAAUAAAAUAAUUAUUAGAUACAAGAAUUUAAAUGGUCAUAUAGAACACUAGAUAUUCUUGUUCUCGAAACAGUUUUAACCUUCGACACAUCACGUGGGGUCUUUCUGGACCCCACGAAAAUGUUUCACUUCGUAGCAUUCAUAUGUUUAGCCUGUGACUUAUGUUAUUUUAGGACAUUUCUUUAAAAUGUGUUUUAGGUGCUUUGUUCAAAUUCUGGAAAUGUUUGGUUUCAAAAUAUCUGUGUAAUAAAUAUUUUAACUUUAAGUCUCUUUCACAGUGCACUUGGGGUCUUUUGUACCCCCACUCAAAGAUAACUUAUAUCUAAUGUAUAAAAUUAAUUUUCAAAAAAUUUAUCUUUAUAUUAUUGCUUGAGACAACGGAGCUAGAAAUAACUCUACUGGCAGUUCCUAAAUGAGUAAACAGAUAGCGCUAAUGGUAUCCUCUUGGCGCAUCAGCUAUCGCAACUGCUCGGCAGUUGUAUUUGUACCCAUGAGUUUUGUUGCGUGGAGUGAUUGUGUUACUAGUUUUGAACUAUCAUUAUUUAGCGUUAUAUUUUACAAGUUGUGGAGACGUGAUUAUAAAAUUGCAUAUUCUUUAGGAACAAUAUAUUCCACGAAACAUGAAUCGUAAAAGAAGAAUAUAGAAAAACAUAAAAUAUGGAUGAAGAAAUUAUGUAAGUAGCAGUACAAUUUUAGUGCGCAUUUUAUCAUUCAAAAUGAUGGCCUAGGCUGCUUAUAUAUUUUUUAUUUUACGAGCAAAAGUUUACUAGUGCUUUCAAUACAUUUUAUCAAUAGGAUGUGUUCGCUUUGGGCAUCUUUGUCGUCGUGCCCUAUAAAAGUUCAAAGCAGAUGUAACAAAGUGAGCUUGUUUUGACUCAUAGAGAAAGCGUCCAUUUACACUCUACAAUGUUUUUUUCAAGUGCCAUUUGCUUUUCUCGGGCGGUGGAUCGUUUUUGAUGUUCUACGGUUUGAAACAUUUCAUACCUUUUUUGUAUAGCCUACUAAUUUUCACAGGCAUGGGAAGUUCAUAAAAAAUCGUAUUCUCUAGCUACAUUGUGUUCAGUAAUUUUUUUACAAUAAUAACGUUCAAACACUUCACUAUUUACAAUAUCUGAUGCAAACUCUGGAGGUUGUGUGUUUGCUCUCGGUCGUGUGCAUUAUAGUGGUUUUUGCAACUAUCAUUCCAGAAAAUAGUUGAAGUUCCUCAAUGUCCAUAUUUCCAAUUCCAUGCCCAUAAAUUUGUUGUUCUUUUAUAACGCCAAUGCUGUUUCUAGGAAAAAUUCAAAAUAUAAAUAAAUUAUUUUAUAUUAUAUAUAUAUAUAUAUAUAUAUAUAUAUAUAUAUUACACUUAUAUUGUACAGCAUAAAAAUAGCAAUAAACAGACCAAUAAAAAUGUCCAUCCCUGCAUUCGAGUAUUAGUAAUAAAUACAAGAAACUUGUUUUGGUAUAUUAUACAAUGCCACUUAUUCCUUCCUUGCAAAAACUAAGAUACUGUAUUUUGUUCACAGUAACUAUCUACAGUGGGCAUCCGCUCACCUUGAAAAUAAGGGUAAAUGUUUUUGUUUAUUUCAGAAUUGAAGGCAAACGCCACUCCAGUGAAGAAGGAAGAAGUAUAUUACUAAAGAUGUUGCAAGAGAUAAGUGACAGUGAAAAUAUUUCAAGUUCAAGUGACAGUAAUCCAACAACUGAAAAUGAAAGUGAUGCACUUGAAGAUGAAGAUUAUCAAAAUGAUGCUUUACAAAUAUCAGAUGAUGACUCGGAAAUAGAAAGUAACUUGUCUGGCCAGUAUUACAUAGCUAAAAAUGGAAUGAAAUGGUUUAGGGAUCCACCAACACAAAGGCAAACGUUGAAGCACAAUAUAGUUCGUGAUAAACCUGGAGUGAAGUGUAAUCGCCCGGGUUCAGUAAAAGAAGCAUUUGGGACAUUUGUGACACCAGAAAUGGUCAGUACUAUUGUAAGGGAAACUAAUAGAGAAGCGGAACGAGUUAUGAAUGAUUGUAAUAUAUCAGAUGCGAACACUGAACAUAAAAUAUGGAAAGAUACAAACGAAAUGGAAAUUGAGGCUUACAUUGGACUAUUGUUGUGUGCUGGUGUGUAUCGUGCUAACAGAGAAGAGCUCAGUGAGCUAUGGAAUGAGGAACAUGGCAGGCCAAUAUUCCGAGCUACUAUGCCCUUGAAAAGAUUCAAAGAGAUAACAAAGAUGAUUCGUUUUGAUAAUAAGGCAACACGUGUGGCACGCCAACAGGAAGAUAAACUUGCAGCUUUGCGUGAAAUAUGGGAUACAUUUGUACAGAAACUUUCAGAGUCAUAUGUACCUGGUUUUGACAUGACAGUUGAUGAACAGUUAGUUGGGUUUAGAGGAAAAUGUCCUUUCCGUCAGUACAUGAAGAGCAAACCAGCAAAAUAUGGCGUCAAAAUUUGGUGGUUAUGUGACUCUGAUACAUCUUUUCCGCUAAAUGGCCAAAUAUAUCUGGGCAAGCCCACACACGGUACGAGAGACCAAAACCAAGGCUCUAGGGUUGUCAAUGAACUAGUCAGAAAAUGGAAAAACAAAGGACGAAACAUUGUUGCUGACAAUUUUUUUACUAGUAUUCCUUUGGUUCAACAGUUAUUGAAAGAGAACACAACAUUCGUGGGGACACUGCGUAAAAAUAAGGUGGAAAUUCCUAAGGAAAUGUUGCCUCAUAAAUGUAGAGAAAUCCAUUCAUCUGUAUUUGGUUUUGCUGGUAAUCUAACUAUGGUGUCAUAUGUGCCUAAAAAAUCCAGUUCAGUUAUACUUAUUUCGUCAAUGCACCAUUCCACAACUGUACAAGGAACUGAACAGAAGCCGGAGAUAAUAAUGCACUACAAUUCAAAGAAAGGAGGUGUAGAUACACUGGACAAAAUGGUGGCUACUUAUAGUUGCAAACGUAACACAAGGCGCUGGCCACUUUUGUUAUUUUAUAAUCUCCUGGAUGUUGCUGGUAUUGCAUCACUUAUCGUUUGGGUAUUUUAUAACCCUGAAGAUUUUGGAAAUGUAAAACACAAAAGGCGUCAUUUUUUGUUACAACUGGGACGCCAGCUUGUUCAUCCAUACAUAGAAAAAAGGCUGCAGAAUGGUAAAUGCAUUCAGAAGGGUGUGAAAAGUGGCCUUCUUGCACUUGGCUACAAAAAGCAAACAUCAAGUGAAUAUAUUCCUACAAGUAACAAGAGAAAACGAUGUCACUUGUGUCCAAGAACCAAAGAUAAAAAAAUUAAAUCUGUGUGCAACUCCUGUGGAUACAAUGUAUGCAGCUCGCAUAGUGAAAACUUUGUCAAGUGUUCUAGCUGCGCUGCAGAGAGUGAUUGAAAAUUAUAUUGUGAAUAUAAAAAUCGUUUUGUAUGUCUGCAAAUUAGACAUACUAUAUAAUUAUGUGAGCAUACAUUUUCAAGAACAACAACAUUGUGUGUUAUAAUGACAUAAAUAUGUUAUUUUGACAGGGACAUUUCAAAUGAUUGAGAAAUAUGACUAAAAAUGUAAAAAUCAUUAAAACUUUCUGUGGUUGUCCACAUUCUUCCAAAGUGAAACAUCUAAAAUGUCGUAAAAUAUUAUGAGUACAAAUAUGUAAAUCACUACAUGGCGUAUUACAUAUAUAAAAUCUCAAAUAUUAUUGGGGUCCUAAAAGACCCCAUGUGCCCUAAAAUGUUGUUGUAACGUGUAAUUAGAACACUGGGUAGUGUAACAUUAAAAUAGAUAAUAAAUACAUGGCAAUUUGUAACAUUACAAGAUAUGUGCAACUUAUAUACAUUUACCCACAUUUUAAGUUGGGGUCUCAAAAGGCCCCAAGUGCACAGAUAUGUAACAAAACUAAGGUGAUUUGUCGAAGGUUAAACAUAUUUUAAAACGUAAUCAAACAUGGCUACCAACGCACGGAGUAACAUAAACGGAAGAGCUGGGCAUUGCCAACUUAAUCUGUACGGGUCCUUGUCCACAUGUGUGUCGUAGAUAAUCCAUUCUGUGAGUUCCGUAUCCGUUUACGUUAACCGUCUAUGCUUCCGUUUCAUUUUAGAAAGGUCUUAAAACAAUAUGUAACCACACAGUUACAAUAAUGAGGGGCGGGGGAAUCAAAUCUUCUUUGGAAGUUUUUCUUGAAUGGUACCAGUAUCAGAAAGUAUCUAAUAUUUACAAAUGUAUCCUAAGAAACCAGGAAAAAAUUGUAAACCAGUUAUAUACUAAAUUCAUGUUGGAAUAUUUUUUUCUUAUUUUGUCAAAGCUUGUUACGCACUCCUCAUUGUUGUGAACUUAUUAUUAACAAUAAUUAAAUUGUACACUUAUGACCUAGUUGCUGAUUCCAAAAGAAGCAAUUUGGGAAUGAAAAAUCGUCAGUAGGUAGUUCAAAAGUGACUUUAUGAAGUGUUAAAAUGUUUUUUUUUUCCCCACCAAAGACCAGAAUUAUUCGUACGAUCUUUGCUAGCAAGCCACCAACAAACCAUAUUGUUUGUGGGCGAUGUGUGAUAACUCAAACUAAGGCCUACGAUGUAAUGGAUGAGGUUCCAAAGUCAGCAAAAAUACCAGUGGCACCCAAAGUCUGUUUUCCGUGUAGUGUCAUCUAGCAAGUGAUUAUAUGAUUAGUUUCUAGGGCCUAAUAUAUCGUGGACAUCUGGAUCCUUAAAAAUGUGUGGAUCUGUGCGAAUGCAAGGUUUUUUUUUUUCAUUUAUAUCAAAUUCAAAUACAAAUAUAAAAAUAUUCAAAAAUAUAAAUAUCUAAUUGUUGGCAAAUUUUUUUCACAUUUUUUAUUUGUUUCAAAAUCAUUAUUCACAUAAAUUUAUAUUAAUAAUCAAAAAACAAAUCUAAAAGAAGUAUACUUUCGAAUUUUCAGGAUUUUAUUUUGCGGUGGUGCGAAAAGCUUAUAAUUUGCUAUUGACUUGUUUUCAACUUUUUUUAUGUUACCAAGUAACUUGGUUUCUUUUUGCAUUUUUGAUGGAAAAUUGCAAAAAGUAACCAUUCCACAUUAUGUUUAAUUACUCUGAAAAUAUAAAUUUUUAUAUAAAAAUGAUAUAACUCAUACAGUGUUUCUGAAAAUAACAGAAAUCUUUGCACCAGAAUAACUCAGUUCCAAUAUGACAUGGCAUGGUUCCUUAUUGCAUAACUACAUCCAAUUAUGACUUUGAAACAAAAAAAAAUGUGAUAAAUUUGCCAACAAUUUGAUACCUAUAUCUUAGAAUAUUUUUAUAUUUGUAUUUGAAUUCGAUUCGAACAAAAAAAAUCUUACAUUCGCACAGGUGUACAAUUUAAGGACCCUGAUGUCCUUGAGGUUACGCCCAAAUUGUUUAAUAUUCUUACAUUGAUAAAAUGGCCAAUGGUUGCCCUUUCCUUAUUUUUUUUUUGUGCAUUUUGCAGGGAGAUUAAGGGACUGCAUCAUAUCAGGUCUUAACUCCGCUUCUGGCUCUCUCACGGCCAAGACAGCGACCUUAAGUGCGAGUUUUCAGUAUGUACCGCACAAAGUCUUAGAUUACUUCUUUAUCACGCUGACAGCAAUUUUGCGCGCCACUUACUGUAAUGCCAUAAAUGUGCGCACUGUUUUUUUUAUGUUUCUAAUCAAGCAUCAAGAUUUUCGCAGUGGCAAUGAAGCACAAAUAGACUUAAGUUUCUCUUAGAUAGCAAAGCCUGGUUCGUAUCGAAAGAGAACUCAGGUCAUUUUUAUUCUACAUAGCCAUUUGAAAAAUACAAAAAAAUAUAUAUAUUGCAGUAUGUAUUUUGAAAAAAAUUGCUAUUUCAUAUAACCAUUUAGGACUCGAAGGAAUGAUUUUAUAGAAAUUUAUUUUAAGUCGGACAUAAUUUACGCUCGGUAGCAGACUGACUCGAAGAUAUGAAUGAAUAUCUCAACUGGCUAGCUGUUGAUGCAGACACUUAAAACUCCAAUCCCAACGAGACGAAUUACUCGUCAGUUUUAAAACCCUAAAAAUUACAAUCUCAUCAGAUCUCCAUGUAUUUACUUAAAAAAUUCUUGUAACUUAUGGAGCCAAUUCCACAAAAGCCUUCAGGAAAAAAAAAAUGUAGUUGUAAAGUUUUAUUACUAGUAGUAACUUGGUUCAUUUUAGCUAAAGGAAAGGAAAGAAAACGUACAUAAUUUAGUUUUGAUUCAACUAUUAUGCAGACAUAUAAACACGUGUUUAUAUUUUGAGAUGUUUUAUGUGAAGGGUAGAUACUCUUAAAAACAGCCUACGUUUGGCAAUUGCAUUUCAAUAAAAAUGUUUGCCAAAUUUUACAUAAGAUAAAAAUCAGUAUUAUUUGUACGCGACUUUGUUGACGGUGUUGUAACAUAGUGUGUUUGUUGUUGUAAAAUAUGAAAACUUGUAAAAAAACAAGGGUUUGUAAUUGUAGGCCUUCAGAUGAAGACCUAACAAUUUAUAAACGGUGUUAGAAGCUUUUUGUUUGAACCAACUCAGGAAGUGACUAGACUACGGUCUACAUGUCAAAAUUAAACUUCCCGAUGGAAAACAGAACUGUUUUGUUACAUUCUAUUUCUUUGUGGAAAUACAUAAUAAGCUCAAAUAUUUUUGUUUUCUACAAAAUUAUUUUUCUAGAUAGAAAAUUUUCUUCCAAUAGCGCAUAAUGCAUUUGGUAUGCCAGUAUACUUCAAUUUUUCUUGUUUACCUAGAGUUUAUAUUUCUCUAGCUUAUACUGAAAAAAAAAAACUGAGUCAAGAACAAGCAAUGAGAUUUCUUAUGGUAGGAUGUGACUUCCAUUAAGUAGAAGUAAACUUUUUCUUCAUGCAUUGUAAAAAUUAUAAUUUGCUUAAGAUAUUAUCUGUCAUGUGAUAACUCUAAAUGUACAUAUUACAUACAGUACCACAAUAGUACUUAAAAAUAAAUAAUUUUUUAAAGUGAAGACAUACAUAUUCAACAGAACACAUGUUAAAUACCACAUAAAAAAAAUGUAGUUCUCUAACAUUAAUAAACAAAAACACAAACAACUUGAAAAAAUAACUUUCCCACAUUUCUGAUAGUCUGUAGAGAAUUUCUAUGACUUAACAUUGCAUAAUACUGUGACAAAUAUUUUCAAGUUUUUUAUAGUCAUUUUUAGCUUACAUAUAACUGCAAACUUUUUUUUAUAGGUAGCACAGUAAAGUUAAUUUUUCUCAUAGGAUGAAAUUUUCCAUAAUGUAGCAGAUACACCUACCUAUCCUUUUAUUUUAGACAAAUAGAAUUUUGUGCAUCAAUUUCUUUACUGUGGUAUGCUCAUACAUUCCAAUACUUUUUUUAAAUUGCUUUGAAAAUAACUUAAUUUGAGUAGUUUGAUAAAAUUAUUUAUGAACAAAAAAUAAAACUUGCACAUAAAUAAGGGUUGGAAACUAACAUCAACACACAUUUAUAAUCCUGACUUUUUUCUUACAUAUAAAAAAGCUUGCAAUUCUGUGUAUGAUAUGCUUUAGAGAUAAUCUGUUUUAAAACAAAUAAUGUUGUUAUAAAAACAAACAUUCUUGUUAGUGCAACGACCUGUUCUAAAAUGUAGUACCUAUCACAUUUUUCAUUAAUUAUCAGUAUUCAUUAAAACCGGCUGUGAGGUUAGUUAUUGAUAAGUUCUGGUAGAAAAUAAUGUUUGAAGACAAAAUAAAAUCUAAGAAAAAAAAAUUUUUGAGACUGUCAAAUUUUUUUUGUUUGUAUUUGUGCGAAAAUGUGUUUGUGUAGCAUGUAGACAUAUGAGACUGUACCUUAACCAUUUUCCAUCCAAACAUUUUUUUUUUUUGGAAGUCAUGCAAUAACUAUUACUAAUGUAAAUAAUUUUUUUAAAAUAAUUAAAUAGACGAAACAUGUUGGGUUGUCAUCUUACAUCAUUAAUAAAUAAUCAUCUUCCUUG